UAUUGGACAAUGGGCGAAAGCCUGAUCCAGCAAUGCCGCGUGAGUGAUGAAGGCCUUAGGGUUGUAAAGCUCUUUUACCCGGGAUGAUAAUGACAGUACCGGGAGAAUAAGCUCCGGCUGACUCCGUGCCAGCAGCCGCGGUAAUACGGAGGGAGCUAGCGUUGUCCCCGAAUUACUGGGCGUAAAGCGCACGUAGGCGGCUAUUCAAGUCAGAGGUGAAAGCCCGGGGCUCAACCCCGGAAUUGCCUUUGAAACUAGGUAGCUAGAAUCUUGGAGAGGUCAGUGGAAUUCCGAGUGUAGAGGUGAAAUUCGUAGAUAUUCGGAAGAACACCAGUGGCGAAGGCGACUGACUGGACAAGUAUGACGCUAAGCGCGACC
rnacentral:rRNA from 1 species